UCCAGAGCAGCUGGAUGAGCAUGAUGGUGAUGAGAUAGGAGAGCAGCUCCUGCUUGCUGAUGCCCACGGCAUGCACAGCCCAGGCGAACAUGAGCAGCAGCCCGGCUAGGAACAAGUUGAUGCCGUACUGGCUGCUCAGGAUCUCAGCGUUUUUCUGCGGGCAGCUGCUUCCCACCAAGCGGCUGCCUCCUGGCUGCCCUGGGGGCCCCUGCGCCGACUUCUCCAUCUCCCACUCCUCCGGCUGCCGGCUGCUUGGAGCACAGCACCAUCACCACAUAAGUCCCAGUGCCGGGCAGAAGAAGCCGUCUCUUACCAAGAAUGCGUGUUUUAGAAAUCGUGGAAAGGCUGAGAGGAAACAUGGACUCCUUCACCACCCCCAUGAGAACUUCAGACUUUGUUUUAGCCCUGAUAGCCUUCGACCAUUGCUGGAGAAAGCGCUACAUCAGCGACAGUUUCAAGGAGGAGUAGGGAGCGGCUGAGGGGAGCCCUUUGGCCCAGCCCUUGAUGGAUAUGCCGGAACCCAAACCCAAAAUCCAACUGCUCGUGAGACACCCUGAUGAGCGUGGUGGCCUCUCGUCGUCAACCCGCCUGGAGGAGGAAGGCAAACGCAACUUGGGGGAGUCACCGUCAGACAAGGUGAACGGAAAAGAUGUCGGUCAGCUCAACGAUGCCUUGCUUGAGGACCCGGAGGCCCUGAACAGCAUUGCAUCAAGCAGCGAAGAUGAACUGGGCCUGCCUUGUUUUUGUUCAACGCUGAUAUAAAUUGUUGAAGAGAACUCCAAGGAUGAUGACUAUGAGGA